rnacentral:rRNA from 1 species
UACGUAGGGUCCGAGCGUUGUCCGGAGUUACUGGGCGUAAAGGGCGCGCAGGCGGCGGCGUAGGUCUGGCGUGAAAGCCCCCGGCUCAACCGGGGAGGGUCGUCGGGGACCGCGCCGCUUGAGGGUGGCAGGGGCUGGUGGAAUGCCUGGUGUAGUGGUGAAAUGCGUAGAGAUCAGGCGGAACACCCGUGGCGAAGGCGGCCAGCUGGGCCACUACUGACGCUGAGGCGCGAAGGCGUGGGGAGCGAACGGG